rnacentral:rRNA from 1 species
UACGGGGGAUGCAAGCGUUAUCCGGAAUUAUUGGGCGUAAAGCGUCCGCAGGUGGUUGACCAAGUCUGCUGUUAAAGCAUGGGGCUUAACUCCAUAUAGGCAGUGGAAACUGGUCGACUAGAGUACGGUAGGGGUCGCGGGAAUUCCCAGUGUAGCGGUGAAAUGCGUAGAUAUUGGGAAGAACACCAGUGGCGAAAGCGCGCGGCUGGACCUGUACUGACACUGAGGGACGAAAGCUAGGGGAGCGAAAGGG